CUUGGAAGCAGCCAUCCUUGAAAGAGUGCGUAAUAGCUCACUGGUCAAGUGAUUCUGCGCCGACAAUUUAGCGGGGCUCAAGUUAUCCGCCGAAGCUGUGGCAUUCACAUGUGUGACCGGAAGGUUGUGUGGAUGGGUAGGGGAGCGUCGUGUGCGUGUUGAAGCGGUGGGGUGACCUGAUCGUGGAGUGCAUACGAGUGAGAAUGCAGGCAUGAGUAGCGAAUGACGGGUGAGAAACCCGUCCGCCGAUUAUCCAAGGGUUCCAGGGUCAAGUUAAUCUGCCCUGGGUUAGUCGGGACCUAAGGCGAGGCCGACAGGCGUAGUCGAUGGACAACGGGUUGAUAUUCCCGUACCGGCGAAACAACGCCCGUGCUGAGGCGCGCGAUGCUAAGCAUGCGAGACUGUCUGUUGCCUUUCGGGGUGGCGGGUGGUUGAGUCUGUGACCCGAGUGUGUAGUAGGCAAGCUGCGGAGGGACGCAGGAAGGUAGCUCAUCCUCACGCGUUGGUUGUCUGAGGCUAAGUGUGUAGGGUGGGGUGUAGGUAAAUCCGCAUUCCGUGAUGCCUGAGACAUGAUGGGCCCGAACUUUUGUGGUUCGGGUUGAGUGAUCCUAUGCUGCCUAGAAAAGCUUCGUUAGCGAGUUGUUAGCCGCCCGUACCCUAAACCGACACAGGUGGAUAGGUAGAGUAUACCGAGGCGAUCGGGAUAAUCGUGGUGAAGGAACUCGGCAAAAUACCCCCGUAACUUCGGGAUAAGGGGGACCUGCGACGUGUUAGAACUUGCUUCGAGAGCGUCAAGGGUCGCAGAGACCAGGCCCAAGCGACUGUUUACUAAAAACACAGGUCCGUGCCAACUCGUAAGAGGACGUAUACGGACUGACUCCUGCCCGGUGCUGGAAGGUUAAGGGGAACUGUCAGCCAUUUUGUGUGGUGAAGCGGUGAACUUAAGCCCCAGUAAACGGCGGUGGUAACUAUAACCAUCCUAAGGUAGCGAAAUUCCUUGUCGGGUAAGUUCCGACCUGCACGAAUGGAGUAACGACUUGGGUACUGUCUCCACCACGAGCUCGGUGAAAUUGCAUUACGAGUAAAGAUGCUCGUUACGCGCAGCAGGACGGAAAGACCCCGGGACCUUUACUAUAGUUUGGUAUUGGUGAUCGGUGUGACUUGUGUAGGAUAGGUGGGAGACUGUGAAGCCGGGACGCUAGUUUCGGUGGAGUCGCCGUUGAAAUACCACUCUGGUCACUCUGGUUAUCUAACCUAGGACCGUUAUCCGGUUCAGGGACAGUGCCUGAUGGGUAGUUUGACUGGGGCGGUCGCCUCCUAAAAGGUAACGGAGGCGCCCAAAGGUUCCCUCAGCCUGGUUGGCAAUCAGGUAGCGAGUGUAAGUGCACAAGGGAGCUUGACUGCGAGACUGACGGGUCGAGCAGGGACGAAAGUCGGGACUAGUGAUCUUCUGGUAGCGAAUGGAAGCGCCAGGACUCAACGGAUAAAAGGUACCCCGGGGAUAACAGGCUGAUCUUGCCCGAGCGUCCAUAGCGACGGCAUGGUUUGGCACCUCGAUGUCGGCUCGUCGCAUCCUGGGGCUGGAG
rnacentral:rRNA from 1 species